rnacentral:rRNA from 1 species
ACGCUGGCGGCGUGCCUAAUACAUGCAAGUAGAACGCUGAAGGAGGAGCUUACUCUUCUGGAUGAGUUGCGAACGGGUGAGUAACGCGUAGGUAACCUGCCUGGUAGCGGGGGAUAACUAUUGGAAACGAUAGCUAAUACCGCAUAACAGUAGAUGUUGCAUGACAUUUGCUUAAAAGGUGCAAUUGCAUCACUACCAGAUGGACCUGCGUUGUAUUAGCUAGUUGGUGGGGUAACGGCUCACCAAGGCGACGAUACAUAGCCGACCUGAGAGGGUGAUCGGCCACACUGGGACUGUGACACGGCCCAGACUCCUACGGGAGGCAGCAGUAGGGAAUCUUCGGCAAUGGACGGAAGUCUGACCGAGCAACGCCGCGUGAGUGAAGAAGGUUUUCGGAUCGUAAAGCUCUGUUGUAAGAGAAGAACGAGUGUGAGAGUGGAAAGUUCACGCUGUGACGGUAUCUUACCAGAAAGGGACGGCUAACUACGUGCCAGCAGCCGCGGUAAUACGUAGGUCCCGAGCGUUGUCCGGAUUUAUUGGGCGUAAAGCGAGCGCAGGCGGUUAGAUAAGUCUGAAGUUAAAGGCUGUGGCUUAACCAUAGUACGCUUUGGAAACUGUUUAACUUGAGUGCAAGAGGGGAGAGUGGAAUUCCAUGUGUAGCGGUGAAAUGCGUAGAUAUAUGGAGGAACACCGGUGGCGAAAGCGGCUCUCUGGCUUGUAACUGACGCUGAGGCUCGAAAGCGUGGGGAGCAAACAGGAUUAGAUACCCUGGUAGUCCACGCCGUAAACGAUGAGUGCUAGGUGUUAGACCCUUUCCGGGGUUUAGUGCCGCAGCUAACGCAUUAAGCACUCCGCCUGGGGAGUACGACCGCAAGGUUGAAACUCAAAGGAAUUGACGGGGGCCCGCACAAGCGG